UUUUUAGUAUAAGUAUAUCCCACGGAAUAUUUGGGAUAUACGUACACUAAAA
rnacentral:pre_miRNA from 1 species